UACGGGGGGGGCAAGCGUUGUUCGGAAUUACUGGGCGUAAAGGGCUCGUAGGCGGCCAACUAAGUCGGACGUGAAAUCCCCAGGCUCAACCUGGGAACUGCGUCCGAUACUGGAUGGCUUGAAUCCGGGAGAGGGAUGCGGAAUUCCGGGUGUAGUGGUGGAAUGCGUAGAGAUCCGGAGGAACACCAGCGGCGAAGGCGGCAUCCUGGACUGGUCCUGACACUCAGGAGCGAAAGCGUGGGGAGCGAUCCGG
rnacentral:rRNA from 1 species